GCCGCCAUGGCGGAAUUGGUAGACGCGCUGGAUUCAAAAUCCAGUUCCUUCGGGAGUGUGGGUUCGAUUCCCACUGGCGGUAC
rnacentral:tRNA from 1 species